UUCCGGUUGAUCCUGCCGGAAGUCACUGCUAUCCGAAUUCGGCUAAAGCAUGCUAUGACUUUGCCGCAAGGCAAGGCGUACGGCUCAGUAACACGCAUUUAAUCUGCCCUUAGGUCUGGAAUAAUCCCGGGAAACUGGGGCUAAUACCGGAUAGAUAUGGGAUACUGGAAUGUCCCCAUAUCCAAAGCUUCGGUGCCUAAGGAUGAGACUGCGGCUGAUUAGGUUGUUGCGAAGGUAAAGUCUUCGCGAGCCUAUAAUCAGUACGGGCCUUGAAAGAGGAAGCCCGGAGAUGGAUUCUGAGACAAGAAUCCAGGCCUUACGGGGCGCAGCAGCUGCGAAAAUUUCACAAUGCGCGAAAGCGUGAUGAAGGGAUUCGGAGUGCUCUCUCCAAAGGAGAUAGCUUUUGUCAAGUCCAAAAAACUUGGCGAAUAAGGGGUGGGUAAGACGGGUGCCAGCCGCCGCGGUAAUACCCGCGCCCCAAGUGGUGACCACGCUUAUUGGGCUUAGAGCAUCCGUAGCCGGUCCGGAAAGUUCUCAAUGAAAUUCUACAGCUAACUGUGGAGCUUGUUGGGAAAACUCCCGGACUUGAGACCAGGAGAGGCCAAGGGUAUUGUGGGGGUAGGGGUUAAAUCCUAUAAUCCUCAUAGGACCACCUGUGGCGAAGGCGCUUGGCUAGAAUGGAUCUGACGGUGAGGGGUGAAAGCUAGGGGAGCAAAGCGGAUUAUAUACCCGCGUAGUCCUAGCUGUAAACGAUACCCACUAGACAUUGGCAAUCUUACGUGGGUUGCCAGAGUCGUACGGAAACCGUUAAGUGGGUCGCCUGGGGAGUACGGUCGCAAGGCUGAAACUAAGGGGAAUUGCCGGGGGAGCACAAACGGGUGGAGGCUGCGGUUCAUUGGAUUCACGCCGGAA
rnacentral:rRNA from 1 species